CCUACGGGUGGCAGCAGUGGGGAAUAUUGGACAAUGGGCGAAACCCUGAUGCAGCAACGCCGCGUGAAGGAAGACGGUUUUCGGAUUGUAAACUUCUAUCAUCAGGGACGAAAGAAGUGACGGUACCUGAAUAAUAAGCCACGGCUAACUACGUGCCAGCAGCCGCGGUAAUACGUAGGUGGCAAGCGUUAUCCGGAAUUACUGGGUGUAAAGGGAGAGUAGGCGGCAAUGUAAGUGAUAUGUGAAAGCUUUAAGCUUAACUUAAGGCUUGCAUAACGAACUAUCCAUCUAGAGUACAGGAGAGGAAAGCGGAAUUCCGAGUGUAGCGGUGAAAUGCGUAGAUAUUAGGAAGAACACCAGUGGCGAAGGCGGAUUGCUGGACUGAAACUGACGCUGAGGCGCGAAAGCGUGGGGAGCGAACAGGAUUAGAUACCCGUGUAGUC
rnacentral:rRNA from 1 species